UCCAAUGGACUACCGUCAUUCUCAAGUGUGCACAUCCUGUGGUAACGACGGUGUCGAUCUAACGCUCUUGGCACCAUUCAUUUUUAUUCAUCAGGCUCAUUUUGAAUCUCUGCGCCUCCGACAGCCACGGGAGCUCUUUUACCUGUAGUGUCUUUGUGGAAUAUCCAAUGUUUGGUCACUCAGAAACAUAGAUCUGUUUAUCUAUAUGAGAUAGCAGCAGUAACGGACUGCGUUAGGCAAUCGUGGAUUCCGUGGGACAUUAUGAAAUACUAGUCUCUAACAGUGGCUAUUAGAUUGUGUUCGUGUAAAGUGCUGAGAUUUCAACAUCGUCCGCGUCACCCGGAUUUGGACUAAUUUCAGGGCAGAUGGUGUAACAGUGUUCUUGAGUUGACGCGCGUAUUCGAGUGAAAUCGGUAGAGGGAAAUGUCUACAGAUUCUCCUAUAAUAUGACAGCAGAAUAGAACUGACGCUUUUCUCGUUGACCGGUUAUCACUUCAGUGGUGGGCACUCAUCUAUCUCUGGGUCUCCUACACAGCUGCCAAAAUACCUUAUCAAAACCAAACCAUGGUCCCUGGGACUCCGGCAGCGAUGCUCCCAGCUUCGGAGGCGGCCAAGAUCUAUCAGACUAACUACGUUCGGAACUCGCGCGCUAUUGGCGUGCUUUGGGCAAUUUUCACCAUACUGUUUGCUAUUGUCAAUGUAGUGUGUUUUAUUCAGCCCUACUGGAUCGGGGAUGGCGUGGACACCCCGCAGGGCGGCUACUUCGGCCUCUUCCACUACUGCAUAGGUAACGGGCUGUCCCGAGACCUCACGUGCAAGGGCAGCUUCACCGAUUUCAGCACCAUCCCCUCUGGUGCUUUCAAGGCUGCAUCCUUCUUCAUCGGGAUGUCCAUGGUCCUCGUCCUCUCCUGCAUCGGCUGCUUCGCAUUGUUCUUCUUCUGCAGCACUGCCACAGUCUACAAGAUCUGCGGCUGGAUACAACUUGCUGCAGGGACAUGUCUGGUGCUGGGCUGCAUGAUCUACCCAGAUGGCUGGGACUCGGACGAGGUGAAGAGGAUGUGUGGUGAGCAGACGGGGAAGUACACCAUCGGAGCGUGCUCGGUGCGCUGGGCCUACAUCCUGGCCAUCAUGGGCAUCAUGGACGCUAUGAUCCUCUCCUUCCUGGCCUUCGUGCUGGGAAACCGCCAAGACGGCCUCAUGGCCGAAGAGCUGCUCAGCGACAAUCCAGAUGGGGUUUUGGAGGAUAAUGGUCUUAUUAAACUUCAGCUUCUGGUUAUGUGUUAGCAAAUACACACACAUUAGAAUUCAACAGAGCAGGAGUACUCGCGAUGGGGAGAGCAAAAGAGAAAUGAGAGAGUGCUAUUGCAUAAUUGAAGGACCAAUUCAAACAGAUCCCACUGUCCAGAGAGGGAGCAAUGCUUAUAUAAUGUCGUGUUUCAGCAUUUUACCCAUAAUUCAAGGGUGGAAGGGCUGUCUGUGGAGGUUUGAGAGGACAGAGAGAGACAUCAGGAAGAAAGACAGAAGAAUGACAUGUGUGAACACAGGAACCUCUCACA